ACCCAACCAAAAUAUACCGAUGGUCGAAAUAAUGAAAACUUUCGAAAUGAUGUAGAAAGAAGGAAUGAAGAUUUGAACAUGCAAUCACAAAUUUCAUUGUUUGAAGAAAGUUCCCAGAGACUAGAUUACAGAAGAAGAUCUGGUGGAUCAAAAGAUGUUUCAAUAUGUAAAACACCUGCUGGGUAUAAAUAUAAAAAAUCUUCAGAUGAUUUCAAUACACCUGCUCCACUCACAUUACCAGGCAACUUACACAAGCUGAGAUCAAUUGAAGAAAUUCGUAUCCUUUAUUGAAGCUUGGAAAUAAGACACCUGUUACAAAUAUUAUCUAGCACAAAUGCAGUCUUUGUCU